GGCUCUGCCGGCGCCGCUCGCUCCCUGGGCCGCCCGCCGGGCUGUCCCGCUGGCCGCUCCUCGCCGGGCGGCUUUCCUUAAUCCCCAUGGCACCAGCAGUUCCUGCGGUCUGCGCGUGUUGAUAAUCCAUUGAUUGCUUCCUCUGUUUAUGGAGUGGGCAGCAAAGGAGCCUUAAGGGACAUGAAAAACCAAGGGGCAUCAGAGAAUCACUACUGAAGUAUUUCCUUUGCCUGGAGGAGUGGUUGAUGGCUGCCAUCCGUGGGAAGUCUUGUGCAGUUUGUCCAGGAUCUCACUAUGACACAAGAGACCAGGUGGAGGGACGGAUGGGCUGCAGCUCUGAAGAGGAAAGGAACAGCUGGAGACCUAAGAACCGUCUCAGGCCACGAUGCUCCGAGAUCAGUAUUCGAGGCAGGUGGACAGGCGAUGAGCGUCACCCGUUGUUAUUCAGCGAAGCCGCGCAGCAGCGCUCCUGCACGGAGGCUCUCGGCGCUCAGUGCGGCCAGCGGGGAGCCCGGCUGAG